rnacentral:lncRNA from 1 species
UAAGCUCUAGCUUCAGCCUGAUGUUUUUAACCAACUAGGCCCGCCAACCCACAAGCAGAUAGAAAAUAAGCUGAUUCUAUAGGACAGAAAAAGGAAGAGGGCAGGGGUCAUAAGGGGAUGUAAGCAUAAGAUACCCAAGCCAGAAACAGCAACCCUUCCAGGUCCCCUUCCCCCACGUGGAAGCUUUCCUUUCACUUUCGCUUUAAUAAAUCUUGCCGCAGCACACUCUCUAAUCGAGCUGUAACACUCGCCACUGCCGUCCACGGCUUCAUUCCUUGAAGCCGUGAGACCACGAACCCUUCGAUUGAGAAGAACCUUCGGUCGGAAGAAGACUUCUCGUCUCAGUAACAAUAACAAGAAAAACAGCCUAGACUAGACGCACAUCAGGAAGACAGGUACCCAGCAUAACCCCAUUGAAGAGCUGUUCCCUGGGACCUGGAGAGGAACACAGCAGGCUGCCAUGCCCACUGCACCUGCAGCCGCAGAAUAAACAUGUGGAGAAGGUCAUUGAUCACCUUGACUGAAGCACUGCAGACAAGAUAAAGACAGCCUGAUGCAGAGGAAGAUUGAGGACUAAGGGGCUUCAUCCACAGUUAAUCCCGUCAUGUAUUGACCCGGAAACAUCAUCUCAUUUGCCUAUAAGACAGAGAGAGAGAAUGAUAGAAAUGCUGGAAGAACGAGCCUUGGGGCGGUAUCGCCCAGAUCUGAAUCCACACAGCAGCUGCUUCGGUCCCUGUAACUCAAGGCUUCCUCUUAAUCCUCUGUCCUCCAUCAACACCUGGCUGAGCAGGAACAACUAUGACCUAGGACCAGGGCCUUCAGGAAUCUUCACCCCUAACUUGAACUUCAUAACACUGGAGAGAGAGACUGUGGAAUGGAAUGACUCUCCAGAGCUGCAGAUUGAAGAUCUCAAUGGCGGGAACACCUUCAUGGCCCCUUUAUAGCUGGUAUGUUUUCUUCUUAUGGACAAUGAGAAACAUGUAAUAAACUGUGUUUCCUUCUCGCUAGGAAACCCUGAGUUAAAGCUUUACUUCCCUCUCAGGAACCAUCAAAGAGCCAUAAUCUGUACACCCUGGUGCAACAUUUCCC